CACAGAGUCAGUGUACUUUGUGGUCAGUAUACAGUAUUUUUGUGGUGCUGGGGCUUGAACCCCAGGCCUUGCUUGUGCUAGGAAAGUACUUUACCACUGAGCUACAUCCUUACCCCUUUCAUUGCUAAUAUGUUAAAAAACAUUUUUUAAAAUAACUUUUAUUUAUUUAUUUAUUUAUUUAUGCGGUGCUGGGGAUCCAACCCAGGGCCUUGCACAUGGGAGGCGAGUGCUCUACUGCUGAGCCAUAACCCCAACUCCUAAAAAACAUUUUUUAAAAAUGUUUUUAUUGUAUAUCCUGCAAUCUUGUUGAACUCAUUUAUUAGUUCUAGUACUUUUUUUUGUAGAUUACACUAGGUUUUCUACAGGCCAUGUCAUCUGUGAAUAAAUAUAAUUUGUUUCGUAAUCUGAAUAUCUUUUGUCUUUUUUUUUAAUCGCUGGCUAGCUCCUCCAGUAUAAUGUUGAAAAUAAGUGAUGAGAAUAAACAUCCUUGCCUUAUUUGUAAACUUAAUGGGAAAGUAUGAUUUUUUUUUUUUUUUCCUGGUACCGAGGAUUGAACAAACCCAGGGGUGCUUAAUCACUGAGCCACAUCCCCAGCCCUUUUUAUGUUUUUAUUUAGAGACAGGGUCUCCUGAAGUUGCUUAAACUUUCACUAAGUUGCUGAAUCUGGCUUUGAACUUGUGAUCCUCCUGCCUCAGGCUCCUAAACUGCUGGGAUUACAGGUGUGUGCCACUUCGACUAGUGGAAAGUAUGAUUUUAACUGUAGUUUUUUAUGUGUCCCCUUUGUUGAGUUGAGUAGUAUACCUUUUAUUCUUGGUUUGUUGAAAGGUUUUUGGUUUUUGUGGGGUUUUUUGGUACUUGGGGUUUAACCCAGGGCACAUUUAUGCUAG
rnacentral:lncRNA from 1 species